rnacentral:lncRNA from 13 species
CCUGAAGAAAUACUUACUUUAUGUCAAGACUUUACUGCACUUUCAUAAAUACGCCACAUCCCGACUCCCCACAGGGAUGUCUUCUCUCUCCCAUCACACCAAUUUUCCAGUUUGCUCCCCAAUGACCAAUUUGCUCUCACAACUGCUUACUUUACUUUUUAACAGGGAAAUUCAAGACAAUUAACAUAGCCUGUAGCAGUCCACUGAAAUGCAAUUGGUCAGGUUUUUGGACCAAUCACGGCUUGACUGCUCUCCGAACCGGAUUUUCGACCAAAGAGAUGAAAGGAGAAGGUGAAAGGAGCUUGUCAAUUUAUUGCUGUGUGGACAGGCUGUGUCCAAUGUCUUCAACAACAAUAUGGAGCUGGAUUCAGGCAAUGGAAACCUGACCCUUCAAGGGAAUAAGAGGUCGCAGUGACAUUUGAACAUUAUAAUAUAUGCAAGGUAAAAACACAUGGUUACAUGACACAGUAUUAAUGUCUACACUUCUCAACCAAGACGCUCUAUUUCCAGAUACCUUUUGUUUCUAAUGAUCAUGUAUGGUUUGAUACAUUUUGAAGGUUGGCUCCAACCUGAAGACUCCCAAGUUCCCUAUCUGGGUGGUGUGCAGCGAGAGCCAUUUCAGCGUGCUCUUUGGUGUGCAGGAGCUGCUGAGUGACCAGUGUGUGAUCGGGGAGUUUGACCUGUACUACUACGACGGCCUAGCCAAUCAGAAGGAGGAAAUCUGCCUAACUGUCUGUACGUAUGGAUCACUGAUGAUGAUCUGCUAGAGAACUAGACACAGAUGCAUCCCUUUCUUAUGUACUGUAGCUAUUUGGGUUAUUGAUGUGAAAUGAUCAGGCUCUAUUCAUUCAUCUCACGUAUCACUCGUAUGUAUUUCACUUGAAAAAUUAAUGACUUACAGCACUGUAUACGGACCAAGUGAGUCAGUUCAUUUUUCUAGUUCAAACAUGCAUUAAAACCCCCUAGAGUUUAUUGAUGCACUGGUGCUUAAAUAUAAGUAACAUAAUAAAAUCAUUCCCAUCAAAAUCCAUCAGUUUAUGCUAGUGACUUGUCUGAAGGUAACCAGUACUGGAUAAAAAGCUUAGUUUUGUGCCUACUCCCCAAAAAGUGUUUAAAUAUGUAUAAAAAAAUAUUUAUAUAUUUUCUGUUCUGAGCUUUCUUAUAUCUCCUAGAUAUAGGACAGACACUUAUUUUUGGACUGUCAUUUUUGCCAUUUAUGAAUGUGUUAUUCAAUGCGUUUCUAUGUGCUAUAGUAGUGAAAGGCCAAACUCAACUCAAAUUAAAACUCCAAAUCAAAUAGCUAAAUGAUCCAUAGUAUGACCAUCUUAAAACAAUUCCACAUGUCAGCUUAGAACCCCCGCCCCAACAGCUUAGACUUAAAUACACAACAUUUGUGUUCCAGGUUCUGAAUCAAGGGUCUGAAUGAAGAUGUUCAA